rnacentral:tRNA from 1 species
GGAAGGGCAAGCCAACGGGCGAUGGCAGCUGCCUCGAAAGCAGUCGAGCGCCGAGCGCGCCUUGUGAGUUCGACUCUCACUCCUUCCGC